UACGAUUACAUCACGUUGUAACGUCGGUUUCCGUACGACCACCGAAGUCAAGCAACGUCGAGCCUGGUCAGUACCUACAUGGGUGCCUACUUGGAAAUACCAGGGACUGUA